UUAAGCUGUCAAGGUCCUGCCCACUAUUUUCGUCUGCUGCUGCAUUUCAGAAGGAAGCACACCUGCAAAAGGAGUGAAUGAACUCUUCACUGUUUGGAUUAAUUGAGGGCCUCAAGCUGUGACUUCACACCAAGAACUGGAUGUUUCAUUCUGCUGUCUGCAACUUUUGACCACACAAUUCUUCCCUGAGGAGACCACCGCUUCACUUUUGGGGCGUUUGCUCAUGCAGAACUGCAGCCGACUCGAGCUACAAACAACUGUACCAAACAACUGCACUUGCCUCUGUAAUCUGGGUUGAAGUCCUCAGUGUGAGAGAGCAUCCCUGGUGUCCUCCAGCAGUGCAGAUGUUCACUGAUUUCUCUUCUUGAACUCUGAGGAAAAACACAAAUGAUAGAGAUAAAAUGUAAUUUCCUAUCAAAAGGAGCUUAGUUUGACCAAAUGAUUUUUUUUAUAUAUAUAUAUCGACCUGUGAGACAACUAAAUAUUUUCAUAUAAUAUCCACAUAUUUAAGUCAACAUGUUAUAUCCAGUCCAUGGAGGCCAGUCUUAUUGGAGCAUGUAAUAAAAAGCUUCUUCUUUGGAGGAUAACCUUCUUUUGACAUUUCAGUCUUCAAAAUAAAUUUGGCUUCAUGGA